UUUGCUGACGAGUGGCGGACGGGUGAGUAAUGUCUGGGAAACUGCCUGAUGGAGGGGGAUAACUACUGGAAACGGUAGCUAAUACCGCAUAACGUCGCAAGACCAAAUGAGGGGGACCUUCGGGCCUCUUGCCAUCGGAUGUUGCCCAGAUGGGAUUAGCUAGUAGGUGGGGUAACGGCUCACCUAGGCGACGAUCCCUAGCUGGUCUGAGAGGAUGACCAGCCACACUGGAACUGAGACACGGUCCAGACUCCUACGGGAGGCAGCAGUGGGGAAUAUUGCACAAUGGGCGCAAGCCUGAUGCAGCCAUGCCGCGUGUAUGAAGAAGGCCUUCGGGUUGUAAAGUACUUUCAGCGGGGAGGAAGGGAGUAAAGUUAAUACCUUUGCUCAUUGACGUUACCCGCAGAAGAAGCACCGGCUAACUCCGUGCCAGCAGCCGCGGUAAUACGGAGGGUGCAAGCGUUAAUCGGAAUUACUGGGCGUAAAGCGCACGCAGGCGGUUUGUUAAGUCAGAUGUGAAAUCCCCGGGCUCAACCUGGGAACUGCAUCUGAUACUGGCAAGCUUGAGUCUCGUAGAGGGGGGUAGAAUUCCAGGUGUAGCGGUGAAAUGCGUAGAGAUCUGGAGGAAUACCGGUGGCGAAGGCGGCCCCCUGGACGAAGACUGACGCUCAGGUGCGAAAGCGUGGGGAGCAAACAAGGAUUAGAUACCCUGGUAGUCCACGCCGUAAACGAUGUCGACUUGGAGGUUGUGCCCUUGAGGCGUGGCUUC
rnacentral:rRNA from 1 species